rnacentral:rRNA from 1 species
UAUGGUUGUGUGCCAGCAGCCGCGGUAAUACGUAGGGAGCGAGCGUUGUCCGGAAUUACUGGGUGUAAAGGGAGCGUAGGCGGGAUCGCAAGUCAGAUGUGAAAACUAUGGGCUUAACCCAUAAACUGCAUUUGAAACUGUGGUUCUUGAGUGAAGUAGAGGUAAGCGGAAUUCCUAGUGUAGCGGUGAAAUGCGUAGAUAUUAGGAGGAACAUCAGUGGCGAAGGCGGCUUACUGGGCUUUAACUGACGCUGAGGCUCGAAAGCGUGGGGAGCAAACAGG